CAAAUUUUUCAAAAAAAUUUGCAAAACAAUAGACCGUUACCGUUACAUUACGGUUGUAACGAAAGGGAAUUGAAUUUAGUUUCUAAUUGAACAUCGACCCCAACCCGGUUAAUAAAUGGGAUGGACAUUCGAGGCAGGGAAGGGCAAAUACCCAACAGACAGGAGUUGACAUCCCUAAUGAAAAUUGUAAUGAAAAUAUGAAAUGAAAUAUAAUUAUCAUUCUAUUCUUAUCUAUUGUUGUAAAAUUAAUAUCAUUGUAGUGUAAUAUAAUGAUAAUUUAUAUUUCUGUAUGUAUUUUACUUGGUGACAGUGAUAGUUGGGUGUGAUAGAGGCAGUGGCAAGAGAAAGGGAGGGUGUGGAGGAAAUGGUUCAUGGUAGUAGUGGUAGCAGGGAUGGAUGUAUUACAUAUCAGA
rnacentral:misc_RNA from 1 species